UCGGGAAUUUUGGGCAAUGGGCGAAAGCCUGACCCAGCAACGUCGCGUGAAGGAUGAAGUAUUUCGGUAUGUAAACUUCGAAAGAAUAGGAAGAAUAAAUGACGGUACUAUUUAUAAGGUCCGGCUAACUACGUGCCAGCAGCCGCGGUAAUACGUAGGGACCAAGCGUUGUUCGGAUUUACUGGGCGUAAAGGGCGCGUAGGCGGCAAUUCAAGUCAUCUGUGAAAUCUCCGGGCUUAACUCGGAACGGUCAGAUGAUACUGCUUUGCUAGAGUGCAGAAGGGGCAAUCGGAAUUCUUGGUGUAGCGGUGAAAUGCGUAGAUAUCAAGAGGAACACCUGAGGUGAAGACGGGUUGCUGGGCUGACACUGACGCUGAGGCGC
rnacentral:rRNA from 1 species